UGAAUUUCUCCAAAUCUGUUCUGAUAAUGAAACAAACUCAUUUCCAUCUUGGAUGGCCUGAGGGUGAGUACAUUUUUGGGUGAACUGUUCUUUUAAAGGAAAUUAAAUCUAAAAUUACAUUAUUUGAACUUUAUAAGAAAGUAUCUACACAUUCUAUUGUACCUGCUAAGGUUUUUUUUUCUUUUUUUUCUUUUUUCUUUGAUUGAGAGAUUCACCCAUUAUUGACAAAUCACAUUUUUUGAGAAUGUUUGGACAUGUAUGCCACUUUUGAGUCACACAUCAUGAAAAGUCAUGAAUAGAAAAGUACUUUAAAGUUUAUCAGGAUCUUUUGAUGUGGCUGUUUGCCCACAAAUGGAUACAAAUUAUGAGGUUCAGUGAGGUCAGGUUCUAGCAUCACUUUGUCAACUGAUCAACAGUGUGAUUAAGGAAAUGCCCCUUGCACAACUGUCUGCCUAAUGACAUCCUUAGGUUUGAUGACUCUUGGGACAUUUCUGCCUUUGCUAACGCUAAAACAUGCCCAGUUCUGGUGUGGCCUUACACUUUUUUUGACCUUUAUUAAUUCACUACUAGUGAACCAAGCACAAAUAUUUACACAAGUAGUAGUCAAAUUAAAGAAAUUGUUUCGUAACAAUCGUUCACUUAAUCUCAGCUACUUUUGAUUAUUUAGGAGCACAAAAAUGACUUUUUCCAAAUAUGUUAAUCAGAACUGGUAAAUGAAUUAAACCUUUUUUUUUUUUUUUUUUUUUUUUUUUUUUAGAGAGAAAGAGAAAUAUAUCUUUGUUACAAAUAAGCUCAAUGCUUUUGGAAGAGCUGCUGAAACAGAAACACUAGCAUCAACAUGCAAAAUAUUAUAUUAAUAAUUAGGGUUACUUUUUGUGUACUUGUUUUUUUUUUUUUUUUUUUUGUUAACUUUUUUCUUUAUAUAGUCAAUCUAUAUUUCAGGGCACCAGUGCAGCAUAAUAAUAAAAGUGCUUUUUGAGAUCAUAGUAUCAAAAUUGUAUUUUAAAAACAACUUUUGUUAAUGCAAUCCCAGUGCCAUUAAGGAGCUAUUUUAAUAUGUUUAUUUUAUCUCAUUUCUAUCAAUAUCAACAAAGACCAAGGUUACUGGUGCAUAAAAUGUGUUUGUAAAUGAGUCAGUAAUGACUCUGAGCAUUUGCUAUUUUUGCUUUUUGUAGACUAGAUACAUUUAUCUAAAGUGAUUUUUGGUACAUUUUAUACAGUCAAAGGAAUUACAUGCCUUGUUUGUAACUGUGCUGCUUGUUCAUUAAACUACUAUAUAAAUACUGAUUUCUGGCAUUUAUUUUAUUUCAAAAUGUGUUUAAAUGGUCAUGCAUGCAGUCACAUCACUUGAAAAAAUAUUGUUACAUUUAUUUGUGAGAAGAGCAUAAUUUUAAUAUGCCCGUUUCGUUACACUUUAAUAGAAUUAAUUAAUUAAACUUGUUUGUUUAAACUCUCCUUGGUGAGAUAAUUUUUAGCAUAAUAUUAAAAUUACUUUAACUAAAUUUUAAUACUAAAAUUAAUUAACUUUAAUAAUGCAUAAAAGUGAUACAGCAUGAAGUGAUUAAAUAAGCUAUUGGUUUACUUUAAAAAAAAAAAAACAACUCUAUUAACACUUUAUUUAUAGUACUAGGCAAAAGUUACUCAUUACACCUACUCUUUAUUAUUGCUAUUUUGAAUAAUAAAAUAAAAUUGGAAUAAUAAUUAUAAUGUAAGACAAAUGUGUGAGGUACUGGCCAAAUUUUUAUUUUCCCAACCAUCCAUUUGUUUUUUGUAAUAGAAACUUAAACACACACACACAGUGCUUAAGUCAUAAUUAUUUUUGGUCUAUUUUCCUGUAAGAGAAAAGCUGUAAAAGAGAUGUGGGAGUGAAGCUUGAAGAAAGACAAUGGCAGCCACUGACAUGAGUUUACACCCUGAUAAUGAAAAUUAUGACGUAUUAAAAUCAUUCUUUUCCAACUCCCAUAGCCAAUAUUAUUAAAUUGAGUCAGAUUGUGAUUAAAAUCAACAGACAUUAUUUCCAUAAGCAGCGUGUGACAUUAGAUGAUUAUAUUAGGCUAUAUCUCUCCGAAAGCAUCUUAUGGUUAGCUGUACAACAAAAUAUUAAUCAUUGAAAUUGAUGAUAUGUAUGUUUAUGUAAAAAGCACUAUCUUCCAGUUAUCACAAAUAUCAUAAUAAACAUAAUUUAUACAAUCUUUAUACUUAAACUGUUUUUUCUUUUUAAUAUAUAAUUUAAAAAAAUAAUAUAAAUAAUGAUCCUCAUCAUUAUAAUGCUGUGGUUUUAACCUGUGCCUGGGGCUGAUCACCUGCACAGGUGUCAGCCAUUUCCUGGACUAUUUAAACAGUUCUCUCCCAGCCUUCAUCGCAAAGUCUUGGUUUGCUACUGCUAACAUUUCUGAGCAUUAUUUCCCUGUUUGAUUCUCUGUUGCCUACCUGGACUGUUGUUUCUUUGCAGAUCAUUUGCUGCCUGCCUUUUUGACCCUGUCUGCCUUGUGGAUUUACUCUUUGCUCUGUCUGCUGCCUGCCCCGACCAUUUUCCUGGACUCUGUUAAUGAUUUCGCCUUGCCUACUUUGUUUCUAACACUGCUGAUUGAACAUUGCCUGUCAGACUCGGAUUGUGUAUUAAUAAAGCUGCACAUGGAUCCACCUCCACUGACUCUUCAUUACAGAAGACUUUGCCGAAUUCCAAUCCAGCAGCUUUCUAUCAUUUCACCAUGGAGUUAUCUGCUCAAGCGUCAGUCCUGGCCUCAUCAACAACAGCUUAACCGACUCACCUCGCUCACCGAGGAGCUGGUAAAGACCCUCCAAGCUCACCGCCUACCAUCACCCAAAGUCAGCGUUCUUCAACCGAACCUACCUCCAUCAGCUGCUACAACAGGCCCCACCACAGCCAGCCCUUGCUUGGCAUUCCCGGAAAAGUUUGAUGGAUCACCCACGAAGUAAGAGUGCUGGACUGGGCUACCGCUGUGUGGAGUGAGAAUCAUACUGUUUUCCCCUCUUUCACUAGUUUCAUUCAACGCUUCAAGGAUGUUUUUGAAACACCCAGCGGGUGGCAAAGAGGUUAGUGAACAACUAUUUUCCCUCCUGCAGGGAAGAGGCUCAGUGGCUGAUUACACUCUUUCCUUUCGCACGCUCGCUGUACAUACGGGGUAGCUGGAUUAUCCCCUCAAACUCCUUCCAAAAUGGUCUUUCCGCUGAACUGAAAUCUGAACUGGCCUGCCACGAUGAGGGCAAAUCCCUGGACCAGUUAAUUGAACUGGCUAUUCACAUUGACAAUCUCAUCCUCUUCCAACGACAACCUCAACACUCCUUUGUUUCCACCAUAACGGCACCACUACCACCAGAGACCGAACCCAUGCAGAUCGGCUUUACUCAUCUCAACAUGGAGGAGAGAGAGAGAGAGGGACGCAUUCACUAGAAUCUAUGUUUAUACUGCGGACUACCUGGACACUUGAGAGCAUCUUGCCCCACUCGUCCGCCUCGUAACUCUUCUGCAGUGAGUCAGAAUUCCUGUCAAUCUACAACCGUAGAGAUACCAGUUACUUUAAAGGUUAAUGGGGAGUUUAUUAACACCAGGGCUCUCAUCAAUUAGGGGGCAGCAGGAAAUUUCAUUGACUCUGAAUUGUCUAAGACUCAUAGUAUACCCCUUGUUCCCUGAGAAUCUUGUUUGUCAGUGGCAGCAUUAGACGGACUUCCCCUGGGCUCCAGCCAGGUUCAGUUCACCACCGGAGAUCUAUCUAUGCACACAGGAGCCAUUCACACUGAGACCAUCCAUCUAUUCAUCUUUCAAUCCCCAUAGACUCCCAUCAUCCUGGGGCUUCCCUGGCUAGAGAAGCACAACCCGUGUAUAUCAUGGACUGAGAAACAAAUAACUCAAUUGUCUGAAUAAUUACGGCCUCCUCAAGGAUAUAGUCUCUGACCGUGGACCAAAAUUCACUUUUCAAGUUUGGUCUGCCUUCUGACAGAAACUCAAUCUCAAUGUUGGCCUCACCUCCGGUUACCACCCUUAGUCCAAUGGUCAAGUGGAGCGUCUCAAUCAAAAACUCAACCGUUUCCUUCGCUCAUACUGCUACCGAAAUCAGGACUAGACUAGAGCUACCUAUUAUGGGCCGAAUAUGCUCAGAACUCCCUCCACAAACCGACCACGGGCCUCACUCCCUUCCAGUGUGUGCUGGAAUUCCAACCUCCCCUAUUCCCUUGGUUCGGAGAACCCUCAGAAUUACCUGCUGUAAACUCCUGGCUCCAACGGAGUGAAGAAACCUGGAAUGAGGCACUUGUACACCUUCAACGGGCCAUUCACAGAACAAGGUAACAGGCUGAUCGCCAUCGGCACCCUAAUCCCAGCUAUCGUCCAGAUCAAUGGGUCUGGCUAUCUACCCGCAUGGCACACGUACAUUUUCCGCUACCUUGAGGAAGACCCCGGCGUCGUUUGCCUCCUCGCAUCAGGACCUGCUUGCGGGGUGGGGGGUUAGGAGGAGUUUUGUUAAAUCAAGCCUCUGUGGCUCCCUCCAGACACCACCAGAGGGAGAUGUCACCCAAAUACUAACUGGUUCUUUCGGAUUUCAUUUCCCAUAGCCCCGUGCCUGAGGCUGAUCAUCUGCACAGGUGUCAGCCAUUUCCUGGACUAUUUAAACAGCUCUCUCCCAGCCUUCAUCGUGAAGUCUUGUUUUGCUACUGCUAAAAUUUCUGAGCAUUAUUUCCCUGUUUGAUUCUCUGUUGCCUACCUGGACUGUUGUUUCUUUGCUGUUCGUUUGCUGCCUGCCUUUUUGACCGUGCCUGCCUUGUGGAUUUACUCUGUGCUGUCUGCUGCCUGCCCCGACCAUUUUCCUGGACUCUGUUAAUGAUUUUGCCUUGCCUACGUUGUCUCACGCUGCUGAUUAAACAUUGCCUGUCAGACUCGGCUUGUCUAUUAAUAAAGCUGCAUAUGGAUCCCAAC